rnacentral:lncRNA from 1 species
CACAAAUAACAUUCCACAUAUCACAAUCUUCAACCAAUAUAUAGUCAAACAUGCACUUUUUCCACCACCAAUAGUACUGACCAUCAAAUAGACGUGGCUUCGUUGGAGACUGACCUUCUUGCAAGCCUAGUGGAGCAGCCAUUAUUCGUGGGAAUCUCUCUCUUGGUGUUAACCAGAUAGAUAGACCAAGCUCUAAUACCAAUUGUUGGCAUAUAUGCAUCUACUAUCAGUCAACGGACCAGGUCCCUUGACUCAGCAAGAACAAUAAUUGAAGUAAAACGAGAGAAAAUAAAUGGCACAAUGUAAAUUGGGCACAGUGAUUUUACGUGGAAACCUCCUUGCUCAAGGGAGUAAAACCACGACCUAUCGCACAGGAUUUUCAACUAUUUUCACUAAUAUUCUCAAGCAAAAGUGAAAAACAGAUUACAACCACCAAGAGAUUAAACACUUAAUCUCAACACUAAGUAAUACGCCUAUUACUCACUAAGCCUAAGCAGAUACCACACUACCCACUAAGUCAUCCCACCCUAGAUAACUUAGACUUUAACUAAGCAGAUACAACACUGCCCACUAAAUUAGCUAGCUCCUAGAUGACUUAGAAUUUGACUAAGCAGAUACAACACUGUCCACUAAAUCAAUUAACCUUAACCGACUUAGACUUUCAGAUGAACAAAACAAAGAUGUAAUUCCUUUAUAACACAUGAAUGGAUUUACAAUGUAAGCACAUAAGAAACAAAGCUCAAAAUACAACAAAGACUCUUUAGCACUCUAUCAUGUCCCUUUGUUGAGUUGAGCAGUGUUCUUCCUUGAAGAUGGCCUUCUUUUCAAGCUUAUGAAUUUUCAUAGAAAAUCCAAAUUUUUGUUUGCCAAAUCUUGGGUUUGUGUUUGGAGAAGAGACUAUUAUCAAGAUGGACAUAAAUCCUUGGGACAAGGCCAUUGGCUGGGAGCCUGUUGUUCUCAAAGGCUAUGCACCAACUACAUCAGAGUUGGCAGCCUUUUGACAGCUGCGUUUUCAUCCUUUUCUCAUACGCAGACUUUUCGAGACCAGAUCCCUUGCUGCGUUCUUUGAUGCUUGAGUUGUUGAAAAACACUUGCUAGCUCUCUUUCUUUUUGAAUGAAUACUAUUGUUUGUUUAUUGUUGUAUAUAUCAGUUACCAACAAGGGUUUUGACCACUUAAACAAACAACUUUGUCCUCCCUUCCUAUUAGUGAAGUACGCUGCACAUCUCACCAACCAACCUGACAAGACAACUGUAAAGAUAACUUUACAAUUGUGCACCACUUUGAAUCUGGACUGAAGUACUCUGCCAAGGACCGGGUCCCUGCAUUUGUGAGGAUCAUCAAAACACUAGAAUAUAAUAGCUUAUUUAUAUUCAGAAUAAUAUAUUCUCAACCCAAAAUCUCUCACGUUUACUGAGGGGUUUAAUCCCCUGCACACAAGAGAACAUUUUUUUGAAUCCCUCGAUGAAAAUCAUGCCUUCACCUCUAUUGUCUUCAAAUAUAUCUUCUUUCCUGGUGCUCGAUCAUGUAUCAUUAUUUUCUGGUAAAUGAUAAAAAUUUAUGCAGUUGCAGACAUUGAACACUAGCUAUUUACAAUACAUUGCUGAAUUGUAUUUGGAUAUUGCCUUGUAUCAUUUUAAUUUUCAGAGUUGCUAACAGACUUGUUUUAUUAGACCAUGAGGAAUGUUUGGGCAUCUAGUUUAGAUACAAUCAGAAAUUUUCUUUGUAAUGUUCUCGAUGGAAUUCUAGGGUGCUUGCCUUGGAAAGAUGCAGUGAAGACCAGUAUCUUGUCAAAAAACUGGAGGUACAGAUGGAUAACACGUCAAGAACUUGAUUUUAAUGAUGAGUUUUUCAAAUCUUUCAAACAACAUGAAAUUUUUUGAAUCCCACGAUGAAAAUUUUGCCUUCACCACUAUUGUCUUCAAUCUAUGUUCUUUUCUGUGCUCAAUCAUGUAUCAUUCUCUAUGAUAUUGUUAAAUGAUAAAAAAUUAUGCAGUUGCAGACGGUGAACCACCAGUUAUUUUCAAUACAUUACUGAAAUGUAUUUGGAUAUUGCCUUUAUUCCUGAUUUUAAUUUUCAGAGUUGCUGGCAAACUUGUUCUGUUAGACCAUGAGGAAUGCUCAGACAUUUGGUGUAGAUACAUUUAGCAAUUUGCCUUGUAAUGUUUUGGAUGUUAUUCUUGGGCGCUUGUCUUUUGAAGAUGUAGUGAAGAGCAGUAUCUUGUCAAUAGAUUGGAGGUACAAAUGGGUAACACGUCAAGAACCUGAUUUUAAUGAUGUGUUUUUCAAGUCUUUCAAAUAAGAUGAAGAAGGCUCAACUCGGUUUUUGGAACUUCAAGAUUGCUUGUUCCACCCUCCACUCGGUUUCAAAGGGUUUGAGAAGCUUAUUAAUCUCGAUCUUGUGCGUGUCACUUUUGAUCCAUCAAUAUUUACAAAUCUCAUCUCUAAAAGCCCGUUGCUUGAACGAUUGAGGUUGCGUUUCUGCACAAACUUUGACAUCCUUGAAAUUGAUACCGCUAAUCUCAAAUUCUUUGAGUUUGUUGGAAAUAUAAAAUCCAUUUCCUUCAAGAACGCUCCUAUGCUUGAAAAAGUUAUUUUGGCUUUCCUUGGACGACCUCUCCUCUUGUUUUAAUAUGAAUUGACUCCGCUUCGGUCACUUUCAACUUUUGACUAAUAUAUCUCCUGUUAGGUCCAGUCUUACAAGUUCUUCCAUUACAUGCCUUCACUGCUGGAACUAAAUCUAUGGGGUUCAACAUUAGAGCUAAUGUACAUUUGUGAUAUUACUAUCAUAACUAAAUGAUGAAUUUGAUUGGUGCCUUAAAGUAAUUUUUGACUUUCUUCUAGUACUUGAUCAAGGGAUGUUUACCAGAGAGUCCCCCAACAGCUCUGAACAAUAUCAAAUCUCUCAAUAUUUCGUCCAUGUCUUUAAGAAGCGUCGAGGUGGUUUCAAGUGCAGUUUACUUGAUUAGAAGUUGUCCUAAAUUACAAGAUCUUACAAUUGAAUUUGUAAGCACUCUCUUGUUUUUUUCAUUAAUAAGGUUUCUUCUUCAUCUGAACUCGCCUAAUUAACUGUUCCUUGGAAAUUCUUUUAGGACCCUGUGGCCGUGGAGGAUAUUGUUGAACCUGUUGUAGAAUUUCUAAGAUUCCAAUCAUUCUCAUUAGGUGCUGAGAAGCUUCAAAGAGUUCAUGUGAACUUGUUUAUGGGUCUUGAGAUGGAAAUGGAAUUUAUGAAGUUCAUUUUGGCCUCUGCACUUGUACUUAAGGAGAUUUUCAUUUGGAAUUUUGUGUAUCUCCUUCAUCGUUCGGAUAAACAAAUGAUGGACGAGAUGAAAGAAUCCCGCAGAGCAUCACCAAAUGUUGAAUUCAUAUUUGAAUAAGUCGAGUUGGAAGAUUGCUGUGAACCCCAAGAAGUCAUGGAAGUGCCAUGGUUUUGCUUAAAUAGUACUAUUUUUUGUAGCACUUCUUGUGCUUUAGUUUGUUUGUUAUGACUUUUCAAUCAAAUUCAAGGCCAACAUGGUGAUGCCAUGUGUUUAAAUAAUGUGGCAGCUCCGAGUCAAAAUAAAAGCAUAUCAAAAUCUGCCACGUGUUCAAAAAGGCGUGUAUUGACCGAUUACAAGCAAAAGUUACAAUAUAUAUAGAGAGAUACAUACAUCAUAAACAACAUUGUUUCUACAGAAAAGGAAUGAAACAAAUUUGGUAACCUUUUUACACAAUAAACAUUGAAUCAUUAUUUUCUCACAAAUAAUAUUACUCUUAAUUGUUAGUUUCUUAGAGAUCUAACUUUAUAUGGUUCCUUUCAUAAAAAGAUAAGGCGGUGAUUGUUAUGGGUCCAACAGGACGGAUUGAUCUAGCCUUUCCAUAGAUCUAGCCGAUUCAGAGGUUGUGAAUAAUUGACAAACACAUCCAUCUAGAUCUAUGGGAAGUUUUAGAUUUUCCCGUUCCUGUUGCACCCAUGACUAUUACUACCUUGUUAUGAGAUCCCAAUCCAGAACGUAUUCGCAUAAGAGGUUGUCAUGAGAUCUUUCACUCCAUACUUAGAUCUUAUGUUGCUCGAACUCAGGUGCAGAUGUCCGAUACGGGGUGCGGAUCUAGAGGUCGGGUCGGAUCCUCUAUGAUCUACUCUUUAAGACUCGUGGAUAUAGAUCCAUGUAUGGAAGGGGGUGGGAUUGAGCUAAAAAUAAUUCAUAUACAGAAAACUUGAGGAUAAAAUAUUUUGUCAAGAGGAGAAUUCUGAAAGGAGAUAAAAGGAAACGGAGUGAUAAUAGAAAUUUAAACAUACAAGGUACUCAAUUUUCUUCAAUUUCACAUUAGUUUUUUGUUUAGAAUUUCCCCCUCAAAUUUGGUCAAAAUACCCAAAACUGGUUGACCAGAUUGGGUACGAAUCUCACAUCCACUGACCCACACCCCAUCGUGUUGACAUGAGUGCGACAUUUAAAGUGAAGGAGUCCGAGCAACUUAAGUUAAACCCUCUCAUAAACAAAUAUUUGCGAAUGAUGCAAUGCAAAAGUUAAAAAUCUAUAAACAUGAAGAAAAUUGAUGACGUUCUGAUCUUAGUUACUCAGUUAUAAAAUCCGUGACUUACAAUUAUAGUGUUGCUCUGUCAUGUCAAUUUUCUGUUUUUUUUCUUCUUUAUACAUGUUCCCCUUUAAGUAUAAUAGUUGUAUAAUCUUGACGUUUUAGCAAGCUAUGUUUAUUGUUGUAAAUACUGUGCAGUUCGUGUUGUUGCAGCUCAAAGUAGUAAGGAUUUAAUAUCGUAAGGAGAAUUAGAAGAAAAAAGGGCGAUCUUUGUGUGAAAAAGUUGUUAAUUGGUUUUUAGCUUAUUUAUAUUAGCCUUUAUGAUCCAGGGCAAUGCAAGUGAUGUAGUAAUUGACAUGUUGUUACGUUUUAUUGUCUUCUAAUUUAUGGCUUCCUCUUGUUUAUUAGGAGGAGUUUGUCUCUACUAAAUAAAUACUAUUUCUAAUAGAAUUAUUAUAAUAUAUUUUUUCAAUUUUUAAAUAAAAUUCAUUUGUAUUUUAUUUCUUGAAUGAAUAAUUUCAAUAUAUAUAUAUUGUAACAUCCGACAAUUUGAAAUAGCUAAGAAGAGGCUUAGAAAUUGAAGAUUUUCAUUUUUGGAAAGGAUUUGAAAAUCUGGAAAAAAAUUGGCUAAGUGUGGAAAUCAGUGAUUUUUGGCCAACUUUGAGCAGUCAUAACUUCCAGCUCAGGAUGAUUUAGGAGUAGUUCCAGUUAUGGUUGUGAAGCUUGUGGAAUGAUCUUUCCAACGCCGCCGAGUUUGCUCAAUUCCGAGUUCGUAUGAGCGAGUUAUGGCCCUUUGAAAGUNNNNNNNNNNNNNNNNNNNNNNNNNNNNNNNNNNNNNNNNNNNNNNNNNNNNNNNNNNNNNNNNNNNNNNNNNNNNNNNNNNNNNNNNNNNNNNNNNNNNNNNNNNNNNNNNNNNNNNNNNNNNNNNNNNNNNNNNNNNNNNNNNNNNNNNNNNNNNNNNNNNNNNNNNNNNNNNNNNNNNNNNNNNNNNNNNNNNNNNNNNNNNNNNNNNNNNNNNNNNNNNNNNNNNNNNNNNNNNNNNNNNNNNNNNNNNNNNNNNNNNNNNNNNNNNNNNNNNNNNNNNNNNNNNNNNNNNNNNNNNNNNNNNNNNNNNNNNNNNNNNNNNNNNNNNNNNNNNNNNNNNNNNNNNNNNNNNNNNNNNNNNNNNNNNNNNNNNNNNNNNNNNNNNNNNNNNNNNNNNNNNNNNNNNNNNNNNNNNNNNNNNNNNNNNNNNNNNNNNNNNNNNNNNNNNNNNNNNNNNNNNNNNNNNNNNNNNNNNNNNNNNNNNNNNNNNNNNNNNNNNNNNNNNNNNNNNNNNNNNNNNNNNNNNNNNNNNNNNNNNNNNNNNNNNNNNNNNNNNNNNNNNNNNNNNNNNNNNNNNNNNNNNNNNNNNNNNNNNNNNNNNNNNNNNNNNNNNNNNNNNNNNNNNNNNNNNNNNNNNNNNNNNNNNNNNNNNNNNNNNNNNNNNNNNNNNNNNNNNNNNNNNNNNNNNNNNNNNNNNNNNNNAGUCAAGAGUUUAACGUUGAGUUCAUUUCUCAAAAGCUAUUAGGGAACUAUGUAUUUCCAAAGAAGUUUCUAAAUGUUUUUACAUUUGAGUAAGGAAGGAACUAUGAUUCUAAAAGAGCCUUAGGGCUAGUUUUCAAGAAAAGGAAUAUCGUUUCCAAGUGAGCCUUUGGGCUAGAUUUUGAGUAAUUAUCUCAUUUAAAGAAAGAUGUGUUUAAAACACUUAUGAGUCAAAAGCAUUUUGGGAGUAGUAUCGAGCACCGAUUUGGAGACGCGAGUUCAUAUUAAACUCAACUCUCCAUAAGAACCAUGUAGCCAACCAUGGGAUUUCUCGGAUCAUACUUUUUAGAUGAUCACGAAAGUUAAGCUAGUGGAUCCAUUAAGCAAAAGUUAAAGUAAGGUCCUAUAUCGAUGGCAAGGUAUAGGAUGGUCCUUUGGCAACGUGAGGUAAAACGUUGUAUCUUUAGCUUCCUAUAUCACGGCAAGGUAUAUGAUGGUCCUCAGGCAACGUGAGGUAAAACGUUGUAUCUUUAGCUUCCUAUAUCACGGCAAGGUAUAUGAUGGUCCUCAGGCAACGUGAGGUAAAACGUUGUAUCUUUAGCUUCCUAUAUCACGGCAAGGUAUAUGAUGGUCCUCAGGCAACGUGAGGUAAAACGUUGUAUCUUUAGCUUCCUAUAUCACGGCAAGGUAUAUGAUGGUCCUCAGGCAACGUGAGGUAAAACGUUGUAUCACCACUCAUAUUCAUAGUGGUGGUUUGUCGGUUAGAGAAGCUCCCACAGUAGAAAGAGCAUGGUUCCUAGAGAGUUCUGCUUAGUAUGGAUGGGGGUAUGGGACUUCAUUCAUGCAUUGCACAAGUAGACCUUGAGAGGAAGCAUGAUAUUUUCAUGAUAUUAUAAAUAUGAUUUUUCGUCAUGUUUUAAGAGUUUUACAAGCUUUAUAUAUCGCAUGUGUCUUAUUGCUUUAUAUAUUGAGUUCAGUUAUUCGUGAGUUGAACAGAGCCAAGGUAAGUGUUCUCUUAUAUUCUUUUCAAGCUUAAGUUGUGGUUUAGCUUUCCAGCUCGCAUACUCGUACAUUCCAUGUACUGAUGCCAGUUGGCCUGCAUCGUUUUAUGAUGCAGACGCAGGUACCCAGGAUCAGCACUCUGCACGCCGUUGAUCCAGCUGAGCACUCUAGAGUCAGUGGUGAGCCUCCUUGCUUUCCGGAGGACUCGGUUAUUUUGUGUCUCUAGUUUUAUUUCGUUAGGAUGUUGCGGGGACUGUCCCAGCAUCCAUCUCAGUAUGUUAGAGGCUUCAUAGACAGUUAGUCAGUUAGUUUUGAGUCUCUUAUCUAUGUAUAUAUGUAAGUAUUCUAUUUUGAGACUCGAGUUGCCUUUUUGGCCAGAUAUGUAUCAUUUAAGUUGUUUAUGUCUCUGCAUAGCAUUGAGUUAUUCUGUUGAGUAGGUUUCCGCUGAGUUAAGAAAGCCAGGCCAAGGGUUCGCUUGGGGCCAGCAAUGGUCUCCGAGUGCCGGUCCCGCCCAGGGUGUAGGCUCGGGGCGUGACAUAUAUUCAGGAUCCGUGUCAGCACGGGACCCAAUAUAUAUAUUUUUUUUCUCAAUUUAUGUGAUACAUAUGAAACUUGAGAAGUUAUUCAAUUUUUUAAUAUAAUAUUUUAAAUUGUUAAUAUAGAAGAAAAAUAAGGAAUGACUCCUUUGUCAAUUAAUUUUCAUGACAAACUCAACAAUUGCCAGACAAUUGAUGAAACACACAGGUGGAAUUAGCUGCUAACUAUGGCUUCUAUAUUAUUUUAAAAAAAAUUAAGAGAAAGAGAAAAGAGAGAAUAAGAAAAAUAUACUAUUAAUAUGUGAAAACGGCUACACAUUUUACUGUCUCCGGCUUUCGAUCUCUCAGAGACUCUCAGUACAGGUAAGCAUCUUGUAUAAUCUUUGAUUAUUUGCUCUCAAAUUGUUCAAUAAUCAACUUAUUAUCAAUCAAUCAUGCAGUUUAAUCGACUAAUUCACCAUAGUUUGUCCAAAUCAUCUUGUGUUUUCACGCUUCUGGAAUUUGAACCUUACAUAUUGUGAUUUUCAACCUAUGAUCAACCGGCCAGAAAUGAGUGGUAAUAUCACCAGAAGAUUAAUUUCUGAUUAUUUUUGAACCGGAGAAAUCACAAGUACUUGGUGGAUAAUGGACUCACUCCUCUAUGCUUCUUGACUUGAAUAUUAGGUUAGGGUUCGAACCUAUUGCAUGUAAGAAUUAGGGGGUAAAAGGAUCACAGCUAACUAAUUAGGACAUGCUGCAAAAAUAAUUGGAUUGGUAAUAUUUGGUUAUAUGACUUUUUAACAAAGUCAAUCAGAAAAUAAUUUAGACAUUUUGGUUUCCACAUGUAAUAAUUGUUAAUGGCAUGGAUGAGCCUUUUUUUCAAACAAAAAUGUUAUAAUGAUCCUUUUCUCAAAGUUAGAUGGCAUAUUUGAGCCUUUUCUCCCGUUUUAUUUAUCAUAUAUAAAUGGGCAAGUUAGGCUUACUUCAAGAGCUUAAAGUAAGAUGAGAUAAGGGAACAUUACUUUGUCGAUCUUAAUCUUGCAUUACUCCAAUCCCCUGGAUGUUCUAAGGUGUUAUAACUCAUUGUGCUUUCUAUGCUAUGUCUGUUUUAUCUACUAAAACUGCAUCAUUGGAUAGAGUAUAUAAUUAUUACUAUCUUGGGAAGUUAUAACUAUGGGACUUAUUUGUGAACUGUGAGUUCAAUUGGAAAGAAAAGUAAAGUGACCGCUUUUAAAUCAAGCUCAAAUAUUGAGGAACCUUGGCUAAUGCGAGGAGGAAAAUCCAUAUAUAAGUUUUCAAUAGAUUAGAUGGGCGGAAUAUCCUGAAGAGUAAUGAAACCUUUGUAGGAGCUUUAUUGAUACUAGUUGUGUUUUAUUUCGCUGUCAUCCCAUGUUUAUUGAAGGGGAUUCAACUAAAUACCAUUUUGCCAAAAGAUUGUAUUGUGUAUGUAGGUUAAAUAUUAUUUUAUGUGUACAUAUAUACUUGUUGAAUCCUCUGCAUACAAGAGAACAUUCCCUCAAUGAAAAUCUUGCCUUCACCACUAUUGUCUUCAAAUCUAUGUUCUUUUGUGGCGCUCAAUCAUGUAUCAUUAUUUUCUCUCUAUGAUAUUGGUUAAUGAUAGAAUUUUAUGCAGUUGUAGACGUUGAACCACUAGUUAUUUUCAAUACAUUGCUGAAAUGUAUUUGGAUAUUGCCUUUAUCCCUGAUUUUAAUUUUCAGAGUUGCUGACAAACUUGUUUGUUAGACCAUGAGGAAUGCUUCGACAUCUGGUGUAGAUACAAUUAGCAAUUUGCCAUGUAGUGUACUGGAUGCAAUUCUAAGGUGCUUGCCUUGGAAAGAUGCAGUGAAGACCAGUAUCUUGUCAAAAGACUGGAGGUACAAAUGGGUAACACGUCAAGAACUUGAUUUUAAUGAUGAGUUUUCAAGUCUUUCAAACAAGAUGAAGAAGCCAAGAGAAUUAUUUACCAAGUCCUAUUAGUCCAUAAAGGACCAAUAUUGAAGUUCAGACUCCGUAGUUUUACGAGUUGUCCUGAUAUUGAUCAUUGGAUGCUUGACGAAGAAAAAUGUCCAGGAAUUCACCCUUCAUGUAAGAUCAGGAACUCAUUUACCUCAUCACCUUUUUACAUUCCAGCAACUAAGGUUUUUGGAACUUCAAGAUUGCUUGUUCCACCCUCCACUCGGUUUCAAAGGGUUUGAGAAGCUUAUUCAUCUCGAUCUUAUGGAUGUGACAUUUGAUCCAUCAAUAUUAACAAAUCUCAUCUCUAAAAGCCCGUUGCUUGAACGGUUGAGGUUGCGUUCCAUCACAACUUUGACAUCCUUGAAAUUGAUGCUGCUAAUCUCAAAUUCUUUGAGUUUAUUGGAAAAACAAAUCCAUUUCCUUCAAGAACGCUCCUAUGCUUGAAAAAGUUACCGUGGGUUUCCUUGGACGACGACUUUUGACUGAUACAUCUCCUGUUUGCUCUAAUUUCCCAAAGUUCUUCCAUUACAUUCCUUCACUGCUGGAACUGGAUAUAUGCGGUACAACAUUAGAGGUAAUGUACUUUUGUGAUAUUACUAUCAUAACUAAAUGAUGAAUCUGAUUGGUGUUUUAAAGUAAUUUUUUAACUUUCUUGUAGUACUUGAUCAAGGGAGGGUUUACCAGAGAGUCCCCCAACUGCUCUGAACAAUAUCAAAUCUCUCACUAUUUCGUCCAUGUCUUGAAGAAGCGUCGAGGUGGUUUCAAGUGCUGUUUACUUGAUUAUAAGUUGUCCUAAAUUACAAGAUCUUACAAUUGACUUCGUAAGCACUCUCUUAAUUUUUUUUCAUUAAGGUGAUUGAAUAUGGUUUCUUAUUCAUCUGAACUCACCUAAUUAACCGUUACUCAAAAAUUCUUUAGUACCCUGUGGGAGAUAUUGUUGAACCUGCUGUACAGUUGCUACGAGCCCAAUCAUCCCCAUACGGUGUUGUGAAGCUUCAAAGAGUUCGAGUGAACAUGUUUACUAGUCUCGAGAUGGAAAUGGAGUUUAUGAAGUUUAUAUUGCCAUCUGCACCUGUACUUGGGGAGAUAUUCAUUUGGAAUUGUACGCGUUUCCUUUUUCGUUCUUGUAAAGAAAUGAUCGAUGAGAUGAAAGAAUUCCGCAGAGCAUCACCCAAUGUUGAAUUCACAUUUGAAGAAAUCGAUAUGGAAGGUGGAUCAUAUGAACAUGAAGAAGUCAUGGGAGUGCCAUGAUUUUGCUAACAUAUUUUGUUUUGUAGCACUUAGUUUGCCUGUUAUGCCCUGUCUGUCUAAUAUUAUGCAGUAUGUAUAUAUGUGCUUGGCUAAGUAAGUUUGAACUAUUUCAAGAACUGUGAUUCUACUUGUAAUGGUCACUGUAUUAUUAUGUUAUUCCCAUUUUUGGCCCGUGUUAUACAAUUAUGGAUAUUUAAUCUUUAAUUAACUUAAAUGCAUGUGUUGUCUUUGUCUAUAAAACUGAACAGAUGGGGUAAUCUUUUGUCAAGGUGGAGUCUAUCUAAAUUACUAAUAAAAAGGUUUACAAAGUGGAUACAUGAGACUUGGAGGUCUGAAUAGGGAUAAUUGAAUCAGUUUGGUAACAUCAAGGGCAUUUUUGUCCUAGUUUUAAUAGUUCAAAGGUCUUGUUGGGCCAAAAACUUAAUGAAGGAUAUUUUGUUUCAUUUUAUAUCAUUCGAGAUUCUUUUUGUUUUUUUCUCUAUUUUAUGAUAAUUUGUUAAGCACUUAAUUUCAGUCAUUUUUAAGAACCAAAUAUACACAUAAAGAUUAUAUUAGAUUAGUUACACUCUGUUUGGAUUGUUGUUACCCAUUGUUUCAUAUUGUACUCUAUUGUAUUGUACUUGUAAUCAUUUAAACUUUAUUAAAUAUAAAUUUAUAAAAUGAUUCGAAUUAUAUUAAAUUCAUGAAUAUAUUAGUCCAAAUAAAUAUUAUGGAUUAAUAUAAUUGGGCUAAUUAUUCAAGUCCAAUAAAUAUGAAUUUAAAUAAAGUCAAAAUAAUUGAUUUGGGCUAUAGAUGAGCCCAAUUUGCUAAGUCCAAUGUCAUCUUAUCCUAGAGGCCCAUUCUUUUGGUGUCACGUGGCAAAUGACGUGGCAUGCCAAGUCAAACAAAUAGGCCAAUAGGAUCAUGACAUGUGUCAAAGAUGACAAGCCCGCUCCAUAAAGCCCAUAUGCCAUGUCACUUAAAUCUGAUUGGCCGAAGGGAAUCCUGUUCCAAUCGCAACUCCUCUAUUCUAAAACUAUAAAUAGGGGUCCUCAUAAUUCGCGUCGAGAAAACAAUAAUCAAGAACGGAAAAUUAUAGCAACAAUCGUAUCUAUUAUUUCAAAGUGCGAAUGUUACAAUCUCUAUGAUUCCUCUGAAUUCGCCUUUUCAAAUAUGAUUCAAGGGCUUUAAAGCUUGAUCUUGAAUCUUUGAUGAAUUUGAACUUUGAACUUUAUCUUGAUCUUGACUUUUGCUUGAAUUCAAGGUCUUCGAGCUUGUUCUUGAAUCUGAUGGUCUUGAUCUUGAUCGUUCUUGUAACUUAAUACUUGAAUUCUUAAUCUUGUAGCUUUAUAGAGAAUUUUAUGGCGUUUGUACCACGGAUUUUCUCUAGCUUCUUGUUUAGAAUUUUUCGUGUCUUGUAUUCUGAAUUAUGAGGACCCAUAUUUAUAGUUUUAGAAUAGAGGAGUUGCGAUUGGAACAGGAUUCCCUUCAACCAAUUAGAUUUAGUGACAUGUCAUAUGGGCUUUAUGGAGCGGGCUUGUCAUCUUUGACACAUUUCAUGAUCCUAUUGGCCUAUUUGUUUGACUUGGCAUGCCACGUCAUUUGCCACGUGACACCAAAAGAAUGGGCCUCUAGGAUAAGAUGACAUUGGACUUAGCAAAUUGGGCUCAUCUAUAGCCCAAAUCAAUUAUUUUGACUUUAAUUAAAAUUCAUAUUUAUUGGACUUGAAUAAUUAGCCCAAUUAUAUUAAUCCAUAAUAUUUAUUUUGACUAAUAUAUUCAUGAAUUUAAUAUAAUUCGAAUCAUUUUAUAAAUUUAUAUUUAAUAAAUUUAAAUAGAUUACAAAUAGCCCCCUGCUUCAAGUCUUGUCGAGAUAUUUUAUCUUUUAAAGACUAGACUUGAAGUAAUUAAUGAAGAUCUUCUUUAAUAUGUGAAACAAUUUUGAGUUGCUGCAUGUUUAAUGAGAAAUUAUGAUUUUAAUUCUUCAUAAUAGUUACGUUCCUUUUUAAAAAGGAGGCCAAAUACAUGCAAAAUAAACCCACGUGGGUUUGCCUAUAUAGCAAGUUGCUUUAUGGCUUGAUAUUUUUUCAUAAAAGGCUCAAAUAUAUGACUUACUUUUAGUCAAUACAUGGACUGCUUUAGUUAACAGUAUCACCGCCUCAAAUAAUGAAUUCAAUUAGGAGUAGGAUUAUGAUUCAAUUGAAGCCGUUCUUUCUUUUGUUGUCUUAAUUCCAAUAGUAGUAGAAUUAAGAAAGCUUCCUAGCCCCACCGACCCUAUACAAAUAACAUUUUUGAAUUCUAUUAGGAGUCUAAUUGGGUCUUAAUUCUUAUUCCACUAGGAGUUAAAAACCCCAAUUUUUUAAGUCUAUAAAUAGGCCUCACGUCUCCAUAUUCUCUGAACACAUUCAGAGAUCGUGAAAUCCCUCUUCACAACAGAGAGAUUCUUGUGCUAAGGUAUUUUAUUUAUUUAUUUUGUACUUUUUUUUGUGUGUAUUUCUUUUCAGAGACCAACAAAAAUAGAGAGCUUCAUCGCACAAGAGUCUGAUCUUGAGGUGUGAAGAAAUGUGUUUAACGUCCCCGCCUUGAAAAAAAAUACUACUCUCAAGGUGUUACAAGGUCCCGAAUACUUAAACAACUUGAGGUUUUACUAGAAUAAUGUGUUUAACGUCCCCGUCUUGAAAAAAAAUACUACUCUCAAGGUGUUACAAGGUCCCGAAUACUUAAACAACUUGAGGUUUUACUAGAAUAAUGUGUUUAACGUCCCCGUCUUGAAAAAAAAUACUACUCUCAAGGUGUUACAAGGUCCCGAAUACUUAAACAACUUGAGGUUUUACUAGAAUAAUGUGUUUAACGUCCCCGUCUUGAAAAAAAAUACUACUCUCAAGGUGUUACAAGGUCCCGAAUACUUAAACAACUUGAGGUUUUACUAGAAUAAUGUGUUUAACGUCCCCGUCUUGAAAAAAAAUACUACUCUCAAGGCGUUACAAGGUCCCGAAUACUUAACCAACUUGAGGCUUUACUAGAAUACUUGUGUUUAACGUCCCCGCCUUGAAAAAAAAAUACUACUCUCAAGGCNNNNNNNNNNNNNNNNNNNNNNNNNNNNNNNNNNNNNNNNNNNNNNNNNNNNNNNNNNNNNNNNNNNNNNNNNNNNNNNNNNNNNNNNNNNNNNNNNNNNNNNNNNNNNNNNNNNNNNNNNNNNNNNNNNNNNNNNNNNNNNNNNNNNNNNNNNNNNNNNNNNNNNNNNNNNNNNNNNNNNNNNNNNNNNNNNNNNNNNNNNNNNNNNNACUAACUUGAGGCUUUUUUAAGAUCCCUAAUGCUUAAAUUAUUCGCCCCUUCUUAACUAACCCUUUUUAAAAAAAGUUUUAUCUUCUUUUGUGCAUCAUCAUAAGUAAACAUUAACAUUUUUUUUAAUUUUUUUUUUUUGCAAUUUGAACAAUGGUUUCUUCAAGGAUUAUACUUGCCCACCUUCUCAACUCAAAUAUCUCAUCGUUGGAACAGAGGGUAGUACAGUGGAGACUAUGUUUUUGGUCCAGGAUUCUUUUGUUGGUCGUUAUGUUGAUCCAUGGCCACAAUUGAGGAACACGCUUCAUAUGAGAAGUUGGACAUCUGAAUACGAUCAUAAAUCUAAUAAAGUCUCAAAAGCGUGGUAUCUUAAGAAACCAAAUCCUCAACGUACAAACAUCGCGAGCACUCCUUCAAACUUAGGUCGCCGCAUGAUUCUAGAGGAACUACAUUGGGGAGACAACAUUGUGCUUGAAGGUGAAUAUCACUGCAUUCCGGGAUAUUGGGAAUGGACAGAAGAUGUCUUAAGCAAAAAUGGGCAAAGUCUAAACAAUGCUUGUAUUUCUGAUGCUGUAUUUGCUUCCAUUUUUACUUAUGAUCGGAACUCCAAUAUUAUACAAGCCUUUUGUGAGGCUUGGUGCCCUCAAACAAUACAUUACUUACAUCUACCGGAGAAACAUCCAUAUCUCUUUGGGACUUGCAUAUUCUAGGUGUUUGCCAAUUAGCGGAGUCCCUUACGAAGAAGUGACACCUAACUCCACGGAACUUACAAGUUUGGAUGACAAGAGGGAAAGAUCUCUUCCUCGAACUUGCGAGUGUAUGUUUGAUGCCUUUCAUCAUCUUAAAGAUAAAAAUAAUGGUAAUGUGAGGGUCUCUUUUAAUGAAUGGAUACAAUUUUGGUGUAAGCAAGAUCGCAAAUAUGAGCUAGCUCCCCCAAGGAAAGAGAAGAAAUCUCGACGUCUGUCAUCUACUCAUAAUUCAACAAGUGAGAUACCUACUGAGAUAAACACAUGAUCAAGUACUCAAGAGAUGGUAUUUUCUAAGCUUGGAGCGAAACACCAAAAAUAUGAGACUUAUCUAACAGCUUUUUUGUCAUGUUGGUUAUAUGCCUUUGUAUUUCCGUCUAAAGAAGGGAAUUUCAUUUGGCCUGAAACUUUCAAGAUAGCAAGCUUAAUGGCGAGCGGUAAAAGGGUUAGCCUUGCGGUUCCGGUCUUAGCAAGCAUAUAUCAUGGCUUAAAUAAAAUUUCAAAUUCUUCACAGUUAGACCAUAUAAGAGUCUGUUUUCCCAUCCACUAUGUUUAUGGUUGGCUUGCUUAUUAUCUCAAGACACACUAUCCGCUUACUAGUGGACCUUUUCUUCCAUGAAUGGUGGUAUAUUCUAGGGAAGGCGUUGCAAAGUACUUUGACAAAGAUGAGGCAAGAAAGCGUGUUCAUCGGGGGGAAAGCAUUGUAUGGAAUGCAACCAUGCUUAGUAGGCCUCACCCAACUUAUUAUAUUGAUGAUGGAAAAGCACCAGAGUUGGAGCUAGCUUAUUUUAUGAGCCUUCGUUUUAACUAUCUUCCAUUGAGGAGGGGAGGUUCCUUUGUCGUUGAGCCAUAUAGUCCGCACCGAUUUAGUCGCCAAUUUGGUUUUCAUCAAGAUAUUCCUGGCUAUUUAGAAAAUGAUAUCCGUGCUGAGUCGCUUGAUGAAGGCCUUAGAUAUUGGCGCAUUUGCAUAUCACGUGCAACUAUGUCUAAAGCGACAUUUCCUCUUGCUGUAACUUCCACAAAGAAGCUUUAUACUACCCAAUAUUCAUUUUGGUGGGAGAGAUCCUAUGGAAUGGUUCUUGAGGAUAAUUUGGAUGUUAUGGUAGAGAAAGCUGGGUCAGAAUUUGUUACCCUUUUAGAAGACAAAAGUCAAGACACCACUUGCUCCCCAACAUCAAAGUAAGAAGCUUAACUCCUCUAAGGCAUCUAAGAAAGAAGUAGUUCCCACUGGACGUGCCAAAAUUUGUAGACAAUAAAAUUCGCGUCGAGAAAACAAUAAUCAAGAACGAAAAAUUAUAGCAACAAUCAUAUCUAUUAUUUCAAAGUGCGAGUGUUACAAUCUCUAUGAUUCCUCUGAAUUCGCCUUUUCAAAUAUAAAUUCAAGGGCUUUAAAGCUUGAUCUUGAAUCUUCGAUGAAUUUGAACUUUUGAACUUUAUCUUGAUCUUGACUUUUGCUUGAAUUCAAGGGCUUCGAGCUUGUUCUUGAAUCCGAUAGUCUUGAUCUUGAUCGUUCUUUAACUUGAAUACUUGAAUUCUUAAACUUGUAGCUUUAUAGAGAAUUUUAUGGUGUUUGUACCAUGGAUUUUCUCUAGCUUCUUGUUUAGAAUUUUUCCUGUCUUGUAUUCUGAAUUAUGAGGACCCCUAUUUAUAGUUUUAGAAUAAAGGAGUUGCGAUUGGAACAUGAUUCCCUUCGACCAAUCAGAUUUAAGUGACAUGCCAUAUGGGCUUUAUGGAGCGGGCUUGUCAUCUUUGACACAUGUCAUGAUCCUAUUGGGUUAUUUGUUUGACUUGACAUGCCACGUCAUUUGUCACGUGGCACCAAAAGAAUGGGCCUCUAGGAUAAGAUGACAUUGGACUUAGCAAAUUAGGCUCAUCUAUAGCCCAAAUCAAUUAUUUUGACUUUAAUUAAAUUCAUAUUAUUGGACUUGAAUAAUUAGCCCAAUUAUAUUAAUCCAUAAUUAUUUAUUUGGACUAAUAUAUUCAUGAAUUUAAUAUAAUUCGAAUUAUUUUAUAAAUUUAUAUUUAAUAAAUUUUAAAUGAUUACAGUACUGUAUGAUAGAUACAAUGUUUGUCUAGACUGUAUUGUUUGUUAUUGUUUAAUAACAUUUUAAUUGUUUGGUUCGACUGUAUCGUACUGGUAUUGUAAUUUAUAAAUUUACUAAAAUAUCCUUAAUUAUUCUAGGGUAGGAGGUUUGACUAGAAUUAAAUAAUAUAGGGUAACAUGUAAAAAAAGUAUUAUGAAAUAUUAUGUUAAGAUAUAAUUAGAAAAAGAAAUUAAGUAACAAUGGGAACACACCAAAUCGGUUGUUCCAUAAAAUAGGUGUUCUCAUUGUUACGUAACAACGAAAUUUAACAAUACAAUACAAUACAAUACAUUUUAAGCAACAAUCAAAACAAUUAUAACUUGUAUUUUCUAAAAAAUAAUUAUUUUUAAAUGCAAAUAAGAAAAAAAAUUGAGAAAAAACUUCAAAAUAUUAAAUAUUAUUUAAAAUGAUGAAUUUUAAAAGAGCUUUUCAUUGGUAGGGUUUAUAUAUUGAGGAUAUGGAAUUAGAUGUUAAUUUUAAAUAAUAAAAUUGAAUUAAUUUUUAAAUGUAAAAAUAACUGCCAUUUCAAAUCCAACUUUGAAAAAUCUGGAAACUGUAUAACCGUUGUUAUGUGAAAUUUUUUAAUAAUCUUAUCCUUUUUUAUUAUAUCAGUUUUUUCUCUUUCAAAUAAAAAUAGGCUCGAAUAGUUUUUAACUGAUUCGCUUAAAAAAAUUUGAACAUUUUUACCCUUUUAACUUUAAUAUCAUUUAAUUAAAAAAUGAAAAAAAGAUCAGUUUAUUUAAAAAUGAUAUUAAAACUUUUAAAAUUUCUGCCCAAAUUUUCUGACCAUUGCAUUACCCUUUUAGAAAUUCAUUACUGCCAUUGAUAAGAAAAAACUAAACUAAAAACAGCUACAUCACUUUAAAGUAAUGAUAAUAAAAAAAUCUAACCUCCAAAUUUACAUAAGCAAAUUUUAAAAAGUUAACAAAAAAACAAAACAAAGAAAGUACAUCUCUUUUAAACUAAUAAAACUCUUUAAAUAUAAUUAGAGUUAUUUAAAUAACUCAAUAUUUGCAUAUAGCCUUGUAUUCUUCUCGCAACCAACAUCCUCAUUCGUAAAACUUAUAAACUACUACUUACAAUGUGGAUAUUAUUUCAAUUUAGAAUCCAAAACUGUGUCAUCUAAAGAGUCCAAAUAAAACUAAAAGUGUUAUGCAAUUUUAUUCACAAUUAAAGUUAGUAGAAUGAGAAAUCUUAAAUAAGAAAAAUAUGAAUCUAUCACUAAAAUUUAUGUGAGAAUUUAUCACUAAAAUCAAAUAAAUAUAAAUAAACAAAUAAAUAAUUAAACUUACAUGGCUAGUGUUUCUAAUGAUAGCCUAUUGUCACGGGCUCGCGGCAUAACGAUUAUAGAAGAACUCACAAUUUCUAAAAUUUUAUGUCAUGAAAACUGAUUUUAAUUUCAAGAAACAAAAGGAGUACAGCAGGCUAUUAAGAGAUAAAACCGCUUCAAGUGUGCUUAUGUAUAUUUUUUAUUUUAUUUUUAGAAAAACUUGGGAAGUUACAUUUAAAAAAAAAUAAAAAACCGUCUAUACAGUUUUUUUUCCUUUUUAUGUUUGUAAUUUUUAUUUUUAAUUUUGGAUUUUUUAAUUCUAGAUAAACGUGGGAGGUUAUACAUUUUAUAAAAAAAAAAUUGAACCCAUAACCUUUUUUUCAGUUUUUUUCCUUUUAUGUUUGUAAUUUUUUUUUGGAUUUUAAAUAAUUUAAUAAUAAAUUAUUAUUAUUAAUAUUAAUAUUAAUAUUAAUAUUAUUAUUAUUAUUAUUAUUAUAUGCAUUUAUUUUGCUAUAAAUAAGGAGGUUGUGGAAAGAUAGUUAAAAAUAUUUUUCUACAAAAAAAGGAACCAUAAACGUUUGAAAUUAAAAGUUAAUUCUACUGAUAUUAUUGUUAUUUAUUAAUGAAAAGUUCCCCCAAAAAAGGGAAUAAGACACUCUAAAGAACGUGGGUAGUUCUUUCUAUUAGGAGUAUUUUUUAUUUUAUUUUAUUUUUAUGAAAGAAAAAACUGAUUUUUCUUAGUUAGUUUCGUCAAUUGUCAUUGUUUUAAAUAAAAUUACCCUAUUUUUAAUCUGUUAAAGAAUUAUCCUAUUUUAAUCUGUUACCUAUAUUUUAGGCAUCACUAUUACUAUUUCCGUAAAUCAAAAUUUAAAAAGUAAAAACAUUAACGUGUCUUUGUUUUUUUUAAUUUUUUGCAAAUCUAUUUUUUUGUAAUUUUUACUUUUAAAAAAUAGUGUUUUUAAAAUCAUAUGGAGUUUGUUAUUUUGAUUUUCAAAAUAACUGUUUUGUUUUUAAAUUGUAAUUUAUUUAUAUAAUAUAAUUACAAAUAAUUAAUUUUAGUUAUACAUAAAACCGAAAAUUUGAUGUUGAUUUGGAUUUUGGAUAAGUAUAAUAUUAAUAAAAUAGAGAAAAAAAGGAGAUAACAAUUUAUUUUAUUUUUUAGUUGGCUAUAAAUAAGGAGCAUUUUUUUGUGUAUAGUGUAAAAACGUGAUGUUAAAACUAUUUUAAAUUAGAAAUGGAUAGAUAAUUAUUUAAUUAUUGAUUAUUCUGAAAAUUUGUGGUGCUGACAUGUGUCAUUUUUUCUUCUCCUUUUAUAUAUAGAUAGAUAUGCCUCUUGUGUUCUUACUGAGUAUAAGUGAGGAAAGACAAUGAGUGAUGCUUCUUAUUUCUUAUAUUAUUUUGCUGGGUUUAUAUUAGUAAAUCUUUGUUAGUUUCUGGCUCCUAGUUUAUACUAGAAGAGCUUGUUGAAUCCUGGGGAUACACCCAUACCGGGUGAAAUAUCCUUAAGGAUAGUGUCUUUCGACACGCCUCAAGCUAUGAGAAUUUCCUACAAGAGUUCGUGGUGAAGUACAAGCUUUGGUGAAUUCAGUACAAGUGUUCAUGAUGAAGGUAUUUUCCGUAAGAUUUACAACAAUCUUAAGGAUAGUUUUAUACUUUAAUUUUACGAAAAAUACUACUUGAAAAUUUGGAGGGAAAUCAAAAAGAAAGUGAAAGGAGAGGCAACAAGUUGGAUUUGGAUGUGUAUGGAGGAAGUUGGAUAAAUAUUUUUGAGUAAUAAUAAUAAUCUGGAAGCCAAAAAUAAAAAUCAAACAAAAAGGGCAAAUGUGAAGAGGGGAUUUCUUCUGGGAUUGGAGCACAGCAGUGAAGAUGAUAGUUGGGUUGUCAUUUUCGGAAAGUUCAAGCUAAUAAGGUAUGUGAUGAUAUUAUAUGUUCAUAUUUUAAUUGAAUUUGUGUGUGAUAAAUUAAGUAAUCAUAUCCCUAAAUAUAGUAGAAGAUUGGAGGAAUGAUAAUCCCGCUAAGAAGAUUGGAGGAAUGAUAAUCCCGCUAAGUAAAUAUAAAUUUGACUAAGCGGAUGAUAUAAAUUAUUGUGGUCAUUUCUCAAGUGAAUCUUGUAGCUAAUAUGUGAAAUUGAGAAAUUGGGUGUUAGAAUUUUUGUGUUGUUGAGUACAUUUGUGCUAACUAAAAUUAUUGUGUCCUACACCCAAAUUAGAAAAGAAAAUUAUAUAUGUUGAUAAUUCUAGAACUAAUUGAACUUCUUAGAAUGAAAAAUUCUUCUUAAAUAUUCACAUCUAUAUAUUGGCAUUAUUUGAGAUGGUACAUGAUUUUAAUAUUUGUGCUAGAUUGAUGCUUAUGAAUUUAGGAGAGGAAAAAAAUCGAAUGAAGUUUUAUUUGAGUUUGACAAUGUGUUUACGAAUGGUGUUAGGACAAUGAAUAUUUUAUACUUGACUGAUUGAGAUAAUUCUUGAUGUGUUAGACUUCUAAUCUAUUUUGUUUAAUAUUGUAUAUGAGUUUUUGUAUGAUAAUUAUUCAAUAGAAUUAAUUUUACAUUACAUUGUGAAAUUCUAUAACAGACCUUUGAAUAGUGAUUCAAAUUUGAUUGUUACUACUGUCUUAAGUGGUAUUGAAUGACUCCUACAUAAUUUUAAUAAUUGAGAUUUGUCACAUUAAUUAUCAAAACGUUAAAAAUAAAAUGUUCUGAUAAAUAUUGAUUAAGAAGCUCAUCCAAUUUGUUGAAUCUUUGCUUGUGUAUAUUCUCAAACUGUUUUACUUCUUGAGUAAAUGAGAUAUAAAUUCUUUUUGUUUAUUUUAAUUUUGUUAUGUUUUGGUGUAUAGAUUUGUAUGUUACAUACUAAUUUAAAAAAUUUAUGGAUGUUGAAAAAGUUAAUCCUUUAUUAUGAAAUAUUUAAAAGUGUAGAGGUAUCUUGUUAAGGUUGUGUUACAUGAUCCUAAGAAAAAGAAAAAAUAAGAUCUAAGUUUUAAUUGUAUGCUAAUAAAUGUUGUAUAUACAUAUUUGUGGUAAUCAAUUGUGAUUUGAUUGAGUGAAAUGUUAGAGUUGAGAAAUAUAAAAAUAAAGUAUUGUUGAGUUUUUAAAAGUGAAACUACUUUCAAUGUUCUUGUUAUUGAAAAUGAUAUUGAUUCUUGAUACAUUAUCUUGAAAAGAGUCUUUGGUAAUACAUGAGAUGUACAAUAAGUACAAUACUAAAUAAAUUGAAUAUCUUGUUGUACAAAAAAUGGUACAAUAUAUGAUGAAAAAGGUAAAAGAAGUUGGUACAUUUUUGUGAAUGUCAUAACAUAAAAAUAAUUAAUUAUAAUUAGUUGUUGUGAAGUUGAUUUGUGAUGAGACUAAGUGGUUAAGACAACUCUUAGUGUGUAUUCCAAUUGGAAUAAAACUAUUUUUUAUGUGACUAAAUUAGAUAUAUGUGUUUGAGACACAAUGUGAUGAAAAUACUGCAGUGAGAUUAAUUAUUUACGUAAAUAAAUAAUGUGUAGUCGAAGGUGAAUCUAAUCAAUUCACUGACUAAUGAAACAUCAAGGGGAGUGAGACUUUUAUCAUUUGAAAAGAUCAACAAUGAUGGUAACCCAACCUAUGUGAUUGGAGUAUCCCCAUGAAUUAGGUUCAUAUGGGUAAUAACAAGUCAUUAGUUGAUCAAGUAAGCACUAUAAAGUUAUCUCCCUCCUAUGAUGUGUAUAUAGUGCAACAGUCUGCAAGGCAAAGUGAGGCUGUGUUAAGCUCUUAAUCCAAGUCAUAUCCUUUAUAGGUGGUGUAUUGCUCUACAAAAUACACUUGAUGAUUGGACCUAUAUGAGUGUGAAGUGGUGCCACUUCUAUGAAAUUGUGAUAGAUUUCUAGAGAACUCAUGAAUAUCAGGACACGCGCAUGACCUCUUAGCACAAAACCGCAAUAACGACAAAGAUUGUGCGAGUAUAAUGAGAUAGAAUAAGACGCUGGACUUACAAAAGAAUUAUUGGUUCAUAGAAGUUCUAAACUUCACCAAAUUAUUAUGCAAGUAUAAUCUUGUUUUAUCUAGGUCUGGUUCAUGGUUUACGGACACCAGAUUCGAUGCAUUAGACUCAUAUGUGACAACCAAGCAAAACUUCUUAUUUCAUUCUAUUUCUUAAUAUUCUUUUUUGAGAUAUGUAGGGGAUUGUUGAAAAAAUGAUUCUAGUAUCUCAUAAAGAAGUGUUCAUACUAUUUUCUAUAUUCAUCAUAUUAAAUGAGUGUUAAUAUCCAAUUAAUUGUCUUAUAAAUCAGUAUUAAUGUUGGUCUAAAUGUGGCAGUUGCCAAUGUAUAUUUCUUCUUAAAUGGCCUUCAAUUCUCUUGCCAUUUAUCUUCAUUAAACAGCCUUGUGGCCUUUUAAUUUUUUUAAACGUUGGUUGAUGGUUUUCUUGGGUAUAUAUAUGCCUCUUGUGUUCUUAUGGAGUAUAAGUGAGAAAAGACAAUGAGUGAUGCUUCUUAUUUCUUAUAUUAUUUUGCUGGGUUUAUAUUAGUAAAUCUUUGUUAGUUUCUGGCUCCUAGUUUAUACUAGAAGAGCUUGUUGAAUCCUGGAGGAUAAACUCAUACCGGGUGAAAUAUCUAUAAGGACAGUGUCUUUCGACACGCCUCAAGCUAUGAGAAUUUCCUACAAGAGUUCGUGGUGAAGUACAAGGUUUGGUGAAUUCAGUACAAGUGUUCGUGACGAAGGUAUUUUCCGUAAGAUUUACAACAUCAAUUGCUUUCCAUAUAUAGGAGAUAUGAGGGAUUAAUGUAACAUAUUUUUAGUGAUAUUAUAAUUAGGAAUAACAAAUAUAUAGGGUCUGAAUAGCAGAUUUUGAGGCAUGUAAAUCAGGGUUCUUUCUAUUUAAUGGAACAACUCUCAAUUUUAGAGGACUCAUUAGCAAACUUGACAAGAAUGAAAUUGAUGCAGGACGACAUCACCCGAUGUACAAUUUAUAGGGAAUGCUAAAUGGCCAGAAAAUUUGGCCAGAAAUUUAAAAAGUCUAUAAUAUCCUUUUUAUUUUACAAUAAACUGAUUUUUCCCCAUUUUUUAAUUAAAAGGUAUUAAAAUUAAAAGGGUACAAAAGUUCAAAAAGGUAAAAUAACAUAGUGUAAAAUAUGUUAUUUUACCAUUCUGGCCAAAAGGAUUUUUCUGAAUUUAUAUACUAAUUCAGGUACUUCAAUUUCUAGGUCAUCAUUUAAUCUACAUCUCCGGUGUGCUAGUUCAGGCUUUAUAGUAUUUGCUUUUAUCAAUCCUGAUGUAUUUAUGUGAAUAUCAUAAAUAUCAUGAAUUGAUGUUAAGGGAAUAUCAUGAAUUGAUGACAUUUAUUAUCAUUUACUACAUAAUGAAAUAUAUUUAGACAAGUACUCUCAACGAUUUAUGAGAUAUUUUUUGGACAAGAUCUCAAAAGAACGUUGUAAACACAUGAAAAAAAAUAUUGGGUCUAAUCCAUACUAAAUUUGGAUCAAGUCUUGAACUCAUUUGGAUUGAAUAAUUAAUUUGGACUUGACAAAUUAACUAAGUCUCAUUUUUAUUAUUUUCAAACCCAACGUCCAUUUCAAUUUACGGCCCAAACGUUAACUCAUGUCACAUAUUAAAUGACGUAACAUUUCAGUCAAAUCCAAGGCCAACAAAAUUAUGCCAUGUGUUCAAAUUAUGUGGCAACUCUUAGUCAAAACAAGAACGAAUCAAAAGUCGCCAAGUGUUCAAAAUAACGUAUCUUGGCCGCUUACAAGCAAAAUUUUUAUUAUAUAUAUAGAGAUACACCCAUGAUAAAAUGGCAUUGCUUCCUUAGAAAAAGAAUGAAACAGAGCACUCAAAACUUGAGUUAUCUUUCCAACUCUCUCAGUUUAAGAUUCAUCAUUCCUUCUUGUUUACAAUUUGAUAACAUUUUUCCUCAAUGAAUAUUGCAUCAGUCUCUUCUUGCAAAAAAGUUUAGUCUUUUAAUUAUUAGUUUCUAAGAGAUCAAACUAUAUAUGGUUACUUUCAUAUAUUUUCCUGUCGAUAGAAGAUAAGGUGGUGAUUGUUAUGGAUCCAACAAGACAGGUAAGUCUAGCCUUUCCAAAGAUCUAGCCAAUUCAUUUUCAGUAUAAGUUGUGAAUAAUUGCAAGUACAAGCUAAGUUGUUUGGACUCCAAUGCGGGUGUCCGAUACAGAUGCAGAUCAAGAUGUCGGAUCCUACAUAAUCGAAAUUUUAAGAUUUGGAGGUACAGAGUCUGGUGAGGGUAUUCUAGUACGGAUGCAGGUACCGGUGGUGAUUGUUAUGGAUUCGACAGCACAUGUAAGUCUAGCCUUUCCAUAUAGAUCUAGCCGAUUCAUUUUUAUAGAGGUUAUAAAUAGUUGACAAAUACAAGCUAAGUUGCUCGGACUCUGGUGGAGGUGUCCGAUACAAAUGUAUAUUUAGAGAUCGGACCCUUAAUGACCUAAAUUUUAAGAUUUUGGUGUACGGGUCUUGGUAGGAACUCUGGUGCGGGUGUCCAAGUAUGGAUAUAGGUACGGGUGGUGAUUGUUAUGGAUCCAACUAGACAGGUAAGUCUAGCCUUUCCAUAUAGAUCUAGCCGAUUCAUUUUCAGUAGAGGUUGUGAAUAAUUGAUAAAUAUAAGCUAAGUUUCUCGGACUCCGGUGUAGGUGUCUGAUACAGGUACGGAUUAGAGAUCGGAUCCUUAAUAAUCUAAAGUUGAGGUACCUUCUGAUCUUUCUCAGUUAAGCCUAUGGACUCAGUUAUUAGAUCCGCAAUUUAUAAUUAUAGUGUUACUUUUCAUGUUAAUUUUUUUUUGGUAACUAAACACAUUUUAUUACCAAUGUGGCAAAGUGCAGCUCAAAAAAGAAAAAUAGCAUCAGACCUUACUCCAACUCCGUGGACAGGCCUAGUAAAUCAAUAUGCAUAAUCUCCCUAUCUCUUAACCACAAUUUGCUAAACUGGAUAGUAAUUCAGCUGAUUCAAGCACCUAGCUAGCUUUCCAUGCAUGCUUGCUCAAACAUAAACCUCUUGAAUAAUCUUUCUCACAAUGAUAUACCCGCAGUGACGUGUAUUUUGAAAAACUCUAUGAUUUCUUUCCAGCCACAACUCUUAGACAGAGGCAGCAAGUGUCAUUCUGAAAAUAGUAGCAACAUUGCCCUUGCCUUUACACAUAGUUUCAUACCACUGUAUUUCUCCAGCCUAGUUCAUAGUUUGUCAAUGGAUUCCUUGCCAACACAAUACUCUUCUCGACACAUAAGAAGCUACAAAACACUCAAAAAUAAGUGUUCAAUAUUUUCUAAUUCGAUAUCACAGAGAGGACAUAGAGGGUAGACCUGCAUUCCCCAUUUUAGCAUCCUAUAAAAAAACAAGUGUUCAGUAUUUUCCGAUUUGUUUGUUUUUUCUAUACAUGUUCCCCUUUUAAAGUAUAACUAGUUUCAGAAUAUACGCAUUGCAUGUGUAUCCCAUAUCUAUGAAUAAGUUUGUAAAAAUCGCAUAAAUAUUAUGUGUAUUAAAACUGUGUUAAGAGCCACAACUUGAAGUAUUUUAUUGUUUGAAGACCAAAUGUAGAGUUGUUCAUUCACUUGCAAAAGCAAAACAUUUUUACUUAUGCACUUUAGUACAAUAACCGAAGACGGAGAAAAACGGAAACACAAUUAAUGUUACCAAAUUUAGGUAUUGAACGAAACUGUCGACCUCGUAGGCGGACCCAGUAGGGGUGCACGCGCACUCGUUCACUUUGGAAAAAAUCAUGUAUAUAUAUAUCAUCACCUUUUCCUGUAACUCCUCAACGUAAUAUAUAUCCUCACCCG